ACAGCUCCACCUGGAGGCACAAAGCCUGGAGCCCCCGUGUCCUAAUUUAGGACACUUUGAAGAGCAUCCCAGUUCCAGAGCUCCCCACAGGAUCUGCCGAGGCCACCGUCCGCCGUCCACUCCUGCUGUCUUUCCUCAGCGAGUGCCUGCACACUGAUCUGAUGCUUUCCGAGUCAGCUUCCCAGGAACUGGACCCGGGCCCGGGAGACCUCUGGUCUGCAAGCCUUAAGAACGUAGUCCUGCACCCCAUUUUUUUAGCAUCACGUUGUGUGACUCAGGCCAGUCCCAGGUCCUCUCUGGGCCUUUAGCUGCAGAGGGAGCAGAUUUGACCGUAAAGUGCCGUCCAGCUUGGACCAUCCUCGAGCUGUGCUGAAACAUGAGCUCGGGGUCACUGGGCGAGAUCUGCUGUCUCCUGAGUGGGGACACAUGUCCCUGUUUACCUGUGGCCUUUUCAGGGAAGCUGCUGCUCCCAGAAAGAGGAGACCUGUGGCCCCACCUGAAUGCAAUGAGCAGCCUGGAGUCCGACCCAGCUGACCUGAAGCCUGUGGCAGAGGCGCCAUCAGCAUUUAGCAGUGAAAUUGCGGUCGAUCUGCAUUUAUCACAAUGUCGAGAGAAUAAAGGAUACAGGGGUGAGGUCUGAGAAAACAUCGGCUAAGAAUAGGAGCCACGAUCAAGACUUUGUGCCCUUCAGAUCCAUGCAGCGUCUGAUGGACAGGAGGUAGGUGAUAGACUGCAGGUCGGCGGCCUCCCCAUCCUGCCGGGGGAUGCCCUUGUUCCAGCCUCUGUGUCUUACACUCUCCCUUUGCCCCCUUGCUCCCUUUGACCUAUCCAAAUCCAAAUUCUUGGUGAAAGAAUAUGUUAUCUGAUGAAAA
rnacentral:lncRNA from 1 species